rnacentral:rRNA from 1 species
UACAGAGGUCCCGAGCGUUGUUCGGAUUCACUGGGCGUAAAGGGCGCGUAGGUGGCUUGGUAAGUUUGAUGUGAAAUCUCCGGGCUUAACCCGGAAAAUGCAUUGAAUACUAUUUGAGCUUGAGGAUUGGAGGGGGGACUGGAAUUCUUGGUGUAGCAGUGAAAUGCGUAGAUAUCUGGAGGAACACCGAUGGCGAAGGCAGCCCCCUGGGCUAACACUGACGCUCAUGCACGAAAGCGUGGGGAGCAAACGAGG